CUAGCACUUUAACAGGUCCUCCCCUAGCAGUGGCCCUAGUAUUUGGUAGCUGGUGCUGAGAGAAAACUCUGACUGCAUUCUUGCCUUGGAACUGUACCAGUGGCAGCUGUCACUCAGUGGAAGAGAA
rnacentral:snoRNA from 1 species